GAAUUCAACUCCUACGGGAGGCAGCAGUAGGGAAUCUUCCGCAAUGGACGAAAGUCUGACGGAGCAACGCCGCGUGAGCGAAGAAGGUCUUCGGAUCGUAAAGCUCUGUUGUUAGGGAAGAACAAGUAUCGUUCGAAUAGGGCGGUACCUUGACGGUACCUAACCAGAAAGCCACGGCUAACUACGUGCCAGCAGCCGCGGUAAUACGUAGGUGGCAAGCGUUAUCCGGAAUUAUUGGGCGUAAAGCGCGCGCAGGCGGUCCUUUAAGUCUGAUGUGAAAGCCCACGGCUCAACCGUGGAGGGUCAUUGGAAACUGGGGGACUUGAGUGCAGAAGAGGAGAGCGGAAUUCCACGUGUAGCGGUGAAAUGCGUAGAGAUGUGGAGGAACACCAGUGGCGAAGGCGGCUCUCUGGUCUGUAACUGACGCUGAGGCGCGAAAGCGUGGGGAGCGAACAGGAUUAGAUACCCGAGUAGUCCAGGCGUU
rnacentral:rRNA from 1 species